GAGACUCUGUGCGCGUGCAUAUCAAUAAGCGGAGGAAAAGAAACUAACAAGGAUUCCCUUAGUAACGGCGAGUGAAGCGGGAAGAGCUCAAAUUUGAAAUCUUCAAGGUUCUACCUUGACGGAUUGUAGUUUAUAGAAGUGUUUUCUGUUAGUAGAGUGGCAAAAGUUCUUUGGAAUAGGACAUCAUAGAGGGUGAGAAUCCCGUAUUUGGUCAUUCCUCCUAGCUUUGUGAUACACUUUCAACGAGUCGGAUUGUUUGGGAAUGCAGUCCAAUAUGGGUGGUAAAUUUCAUCUAGAGCUAAAUAUUGGCGAGAGACCGAUAGCGAACAAGUACCGUGAGGGAAAGAUGAAAAGAACUUUGAAAAGAGAGUUAAACAGUACGUGAAAUUGUCAAAAGGGGAGCGUUUGACACCAGUGUUGUUUUUCCGAAAAUCAAUUACGAAUGUUUUGUUUUUGAGGAGUUAUGACUUCAUCGGCUUGCUUCUCUCUUUACGAAACUUUCUUAAUGCACUUUUCGGUUAACAAGUCAACAUCAAUUUCUUUUGUUGUAAAAGGGUAUGAGGAAGGUGGCUUUCUUUUCGGAGAAAGUGUUUAUAGCCUUGUAGCCUCUGCAAUCGGAGAGAUUGAGGUCUGCAGCGUAGAUCCUUCGGGGUUAGAUACAGUUUGUGCUAAGUUAUAGCUUUUCAUAGACAACUUGUUGACUAUGUUAGUCUUGUAGCUUACUCGCUUAUGCUAUUUUACCUACGCUUAGGAUGUUGACGAUCAGCUGAGCGCG
rnacentral:rRNA from 1 species